UUUGCCUACUGUAUGAAUUUCAAAUCCUCACGCACUUCGAUAAAAAUGCAUGUUUUGCAUGUAUCAAUUGCGCUAUCAUUGCUUUUAUAUUUCCAAUCGUUUAUGAAAUUUCCAAUUCUUUUAGAUCGAAACUACUCGAAAAAAUUUAGACAAUUUUGAACAGUAUAGUCAGCGUACGAUUAGUUUCUCCUAGGCGUUUAUACCUUUCACCAUUUAUACCCUUAAAUGUAUCAAAAUAAAUCGAUUCCACGACUUUUACGAAGCAAUGUUAACUAAAAUACGUUGUUUCAAAUAAAGCAUCGCUUAUUCAUAAGGAUUAUAAAUUUUUUAUACAUUUGGGAAGAAUACGUUUCCUAGUUCGCAAUUGUGUUCAGAAUAUCACAAUUAUAAAAAUCUCAGAUUGCGAAAUAAAGCUUCAAUACGUAUGUAAUACGUACAUACGUCGUGCAUAGGUCUUUUCUAUCGAGGAACGGACUUUGAUUAACAAUGGAUAUAGGCGUGGCAAAUGAAACAGAACAGAUAGAAAAAUAUGAUAUUACGAAAUUGGUAAAAUACCCUAUCCGAAAGAUUUUGAUCUCUUGUUUUUUGCAAUAGCUAUAAUUUGUCGCUUUAUACGAAUUUUACGACAUGAUAAAUUUGAUAUAUUUUAUUUCUCAGAUAAUUACAAAUAUUCUUCAGUUAUGUCUUUUGCACUGAUAACAGCAGCUCAGCAACGAGAACACUUUAAUUCAGAAAUAAAGUUUGACAGAUGUACCAUAUACUGCAUUUCUCACGUACGACUUUGAAUAAUCCUACGUUGUUCGAACAUUUAAACUUGUUCACACGAGCUUCCAAGUUCGCUCGAUAAAUUUCCAAUCGAAUUAAUUUUCCAAGAUUGAACUGCUAAGAUUAAAAAUUUUUCAUUUUUAUAUUAUGAGUAUUUCUCGAUCACUUUUAUUAAAGCGUAUCGUUGAAAUGACCAGCAUUCUCGUCCUUUUUCUUUCUGUCUGUUAUACAACCUGAACUGGUACCCAGCAACUGGAUAACCAGGUCGUCGUAUAAUAGGAGUCCACCUAUUUUUCCCCACCACCUAUGAUUUUUUAUUCAACUAUAAUAGGAGUUCAUGUUUGCUCGUGACACAUUUGCUCUUAAAUACAUAAUAAUGUUGCAAACUAGUAUCGAAGCGUGAGAAUGUGUCAUAUAAUGCGCGACCCUUACUGUUUACUAUUUUAUUGUUAGACGUUCAUAUAAAUGGAUCGACACUCGGCAGCGGUUCAGAUUAUAGCUCAGAUAAAGUUCAGUGAAUUGGGAGCUAGUAAAAUUUCGUUCGUAUUUAUUUUAUGUCAAAUAAAAUUUAUAUAAAUGGAAUUCCAUCGUAGAAAAUCUUGGCCUAAAAUGUUCUUUGUAUCAAAUUAUUUGUAAUUCCAGAAAUUACCACGAUUGAACUUUUCAAAUAGAGAAGGUUUGUCACGAUAACAAGAACAGUUUCAUUGAACCUGAAGAUUGGAAGAGUAGCACUUUCACGAACGAAUUGAAGUUCAAUUGUUUCGAAAAUUAAGGGGGAAGCUACAUACAGUUGGUAGAAGGAACGACGUAUUAGAAAGUAAAACACGGUGUGACAGAAGCUGGUGAAGUCAGUUUGAUAAGUUCGCUAAGAUUAAGGAAACCGUGUAUGAUUUAAUAUAUAGAAUUAUUUCAGAUAAUAUUUUACUGUAUACAUAGGAAGACUGACGACAAAAGAUUGCGUCUUUCAACAUAGUAACGAUAAUAAUUAUCAAUAUAAAUAUAAUUAUCUGCUAACAUUUUUAUACACUUAAGGGUUUUAAACUCGAUGUUAGUUUUAUCUCAGAUUUAAAUAAAAUUGAGAGCAUAUACUUUGUUUUAAGAUCAAUUGAUGAUUAGUCAUGCUGAUGUCAAUGCACAGAAUACGGCUACAGAGUAUUAAUAAUAAUUUUGUAAAUAAAAUAUGUCAAAUUUAUGUCAUAAGAUAAAGUACAGAUUUCUGCUGUGAAAUGAAGUGGAUCGAAAUUUUCGAACAAUGUAAUUUAACAAUCUCAAAUCGUUUUCAAGAAAUGUAAAAUGAGAGAUUCAUAUAACUGGAAACUUUUGCUCGACACUGUACCUUUCAGUUUCAUCUCCAGUCGAGAAAUUUACUCUCAAACUCUGUCACAAAAUUGUUGUCAUAAAACUGUGUUCUAAAAAUCUCCAUUGAAAUGUAAAUUCUUCACUCUGCUUUCUCUAUAUACCGCUUCUUUCAUUGAUUUUUUCAUCACUUGAAACUUAAUAUGAAAAACUGAUAGAAUAUGUGCAAAAGACUGCGUACAUUUUUCCACAACUUUUUAUUUGUAAUUCGAUAAUCUAUAACAAAAUUAAGGGAAAGUAAUCGUAUAACGUGAACUCCAUAUCAGAAAUAUUAAUUCAAUCGUUUAUUUAUACCAAUUUACUUUAACCAAACAUUAUUUCCUCUAACAACAUGUUUUUUAUGUUUCUUUAUUCAAAAUAAAUUCUGCUAUAUAGUGUGCCCGGUCUAUCUCGAACCGCUCAAAUAUUUCGAAAAACAUGAAUCACGCGAAAGAAUAUUUCAGACAAAAAUUGCACUAUAUCGACAGCGAUAUACGUAUCUACUACACUCUUGUGUAUUCGACCUUGUCAUCACCUUGAAAUCUCCUGUGAAAGACUAUUGAGAUUAUAAUAGUAAUAUUUGAAACCAAUCCGAAAAUCUAUAUGGAGGUUACAAGAUAUUUAUUGUAAAUUUGCUGUUAAUGAAAAAUUAGUAUACGGCAUAAAUUGUAUACUGUCUAAAUAUACAAUUGAUGCUAAGGAUAUCUGUAUUGUAGCUUAUAAAUAUACUGAAUGUAAACUAAAUCACUGUAAUGAAAUUCUUUGGCGAUUCUUUACCUCCUUCUCUCUCUCUCUCUCUCUCUCUCUUUUGCGAGAUGUACAAAUAAUAAAUACAUAUCUUAUAACUUCUAUAUAAUUUUCCAGAUCUGUUUAAAAUUUUACUAGUAUAUAUAAUCACAUGUCUUGUUACAAUGCCAAUGAAUUUUCAAAAUAUUUUGUAUCAUAUAGAUCAUAUUCUAGAAAUGUUCGAAUAUUUUCCUGAGCCACUAUAUAUCGAGAUAAUAUUGUCAUUCUCGUUCCUUCUUGUAACAACCAGGUCCGUUUCGUUAUUGGUAUAAAAUAUUUCCAGCGAUCAAUAUUUGAACGAUGAAUUAAGCAUCGUUUUUUCCUAUGACACUAACAUUUAUAUUCUUCUUGUUCCUAAACGUAAUAAUAAUUAUUCAUAAUUAAACAUAAUAAUCGUAAACUUUUGCAAAGCAUAAUAUAAAUUCUUUCUUAUUUAUCAACUUUAAAUAUGAUGAUUUUUAAAUAACAAAUUAUGACGUAAAUUACAGGUUAUUCUAUUGUUCGAAAGUAUACAAUUUGUUCCGAAAAGAGCUGAUUGUAACUGAAAAUGAAUAUUUUGCCUCUCUUUUAAGUAAAUAUUACAGCCGAUUAUUGGAAUGGGUUUAUUCUUCUUUAAUUAUUAUUCAUGUUGUUCGUAUAAAAAUUUGUCUGAUGUUAUUAAGUCGAACAAAUGCAAUCUGACUUUAUGCGAUGCUUAUUUAUUAGAUAUUAAGUAUUCGUCGAAAACAUUAUUUAAAAAUAAUGUAUUCACAUUUGCACAUAGCUUUUUAAGAAGCAUCAACCUGCACGCACGCACACGCACAAGCACAAAACAUUUUUGUUUUGCACUUCGCCCUUCAUACUUGAUUUUCGUUACCUCUUCUCGGUAAAGUAACCGAUUUUAACAUAUAGGAACGGAUAAAAAGAUGAUUAUAAAUGACGAACAGUAUUGCCAAUGCAGUAUUGUUACAUACAUCGUGUUUUGGUUGUAAAAUUUAGACAAGAAACAGGUAUACAUAUGCAAUAUGUUUUAAUUUGGAAACAGUUCUACCGAGAAGAAAAUAAACAUUUCAUAGGCGCUCCACGAUCAUUCAUCAUCCUUCAUCAUCUUGUACGAGCGUCAAGUCAUAGAAACUCGAUACGCAACAAUGAGA